CUUUGCUGGAAUUGUGGAGCCUAGACUGCCCAGAUGCCGUUAAGUCUGUGCCAGACACUGCUCAAGGCUUUCCCACCACGACCUCAUUGAAUCCUUUUAACAACUCCAUGGGGUAAGACCAAACCCACUUUGGGACGACGAAACUGAGAGUCAACAAAGUACUUUUCUGAGGAUGAAGGAAGCCAUUCUUGGUAUAACUACAUGUAGAACAUUAUGUCGCUCUGCACCUCACAGACAUUCAGCAAACGUCCAAAGAAAGGACGAAGGUAAGCCACGUUGACGGAAAGAGAAAAGUCCUGAACCUCAACCUAAAUGCGACCUCGACGAACGAAGGAUCAUUCUAAGUCGGUAUUAACAACCCCAACUCUCCUGCUCUCAAGGACAACGCAACGCAGGUGAUGCUUGAACCAAAUCCCGCUUGUCCACACUACGGCAAAAAUGUUUCAUUUGCACUGCAAAUGAGAUCCGCGUCCACCGGAGGCAGGACCGCAAGGCACGGCCCUCUUCGACUCGAGUCUCGGUCAUCUGGGACCUGUUGAUUAUGUGUUACAUGCCAAGCUCUGAGGUUGGGAACAAGGACAGAGAUAGGAGAGAGACCUUAUAUUUGUCUUCUCAGCUGCAUAUGAACUCAGCUGCCAGAGUCAUCAAGGACUGAGCCGCAGAGCACCAACAGAUGAUAACAGCAAGGACCUCCUUGCUGGGACCUGCCGCUCCUGUGUCCCUCACCAGUGCCAGUCUUCCUUCUGCAAAGGCUGCCGGAGCCACCACUGGGGCGCUCGUACCCUCACUGGGGCCUGCAGGGAAGCAGCUUCAGCCACAGUCUUGAGCUCAGUUAACACUUAAUGAUUAAAAAUGCAUAAUAUACUUGUUAAGCUAUCCCAUAUCAUUUGAUGCACCCAUGUCACCAUCUCAAAAAAUCUCAGGAAACACAGUGGAUAUCUUGGGAUCACACUAUUGGACGGAAGACGCACUGCCCAUCUUCUCUUGGGAACUUGUGUGAAGGGCUCCAGUUGAUCCAGGGACUCCUUGGUGACGUGAAGAAACCUUGAACCUACAGUCAAGACCAACUUCCCCAGUGUGCAGCCACCACGAGAGGCAGUAGAGUGUGCAGUGCAUUUUGGAACUGUGGGGAUGUGCGGCUUCAGAGAAACCCGCUGCCACAAGACAGUGCUGGAGCCCCUCGGAGGUCACUGUUAUCCUCUCUGGAGCAUGAGAGGAGCGUGAGAGGAGCAUUCGCCUGGGCUGGCUGGGAGGCGAACUUCUCCCUGUUGUUUCAUCUAUCAGGAACCUUCUCUAAUCUCUGUUCCCACUCAUUAAGCCAAGUGAGAUGUCACGACAAGGAGGCACUCAC